rnacentral:rRNA from 1 species
AACGAACGCUGGCGGCAUGCCUAACACAUGCAAGUCGAACGAGACCUUCGGGUCUAGUGGCGCACGGGUGCGUAACGCGUGGGAACCUGCCUUUAGGUUCGGAAUAACUCAGAGAAAUUUGAGCUAAUACCGGAUGAUGUCUUCGGACCAAAGAUUUAUCGCCUUUAGAUGGGCCCGCGUUGGAUUAGCUAGUUGGUGGGGUAAAGGCCUGCCAAGGCGACGAUCCAUAGCUGGUCUGAGAGGAUGAUCAGCCACACUGGGACUGAGACACGGCCCAGACUCCUACGGGAGGCAGCAGUGGGGAAUAUUGGACAAUGGGCGAAAGCCUGAUCCAGCAAUGCCGCGUGAGUGAUGAAGGCCUUAGGGUUGUAAAGCUCUUUUACCCGAGAUGAUAAUGACAGUAUCGGGAGAAUAAGCUCCGGCUAACUCCGUG